rnacentral:misc_RNA from 1 species
GGUUGGAUCAUUACUGAUUACCAGUCUCUAGGGAGUGUCCGCCUAGGCGUUGACUUCCCUCUAGACUUUUCACCCCUUGUGCACCGUAAUUGUUUUUUGGGCAGUCUAUUUUGGGCUGCCCAGCUAUUUAAACCCCUUUUAAUUUGUCUGAAACUAAGAGAAUAACCUUGACAACUUUUGACAACGGAUCUCUUGGCUCUCGCAACGAUGAAGAACGCAGCGAAAUGCGAUACGUGAUGUGAAUUGCAGAAUCUCGUGAAUCAUCGAAUCUUUGAACGCACAUUGCACUCUAUUCUGUAGAGUAUGCCUGUUUGAGAAUCUAAUGUACCUAUUCCCUCUGGUUUACCAAGGGAGAUCUGAGGCUUCUCUGCUCGAGUGCCUUGAAUUACAUUAUCCCGGUCUGAAGCUUGUGACGACAACUCGCAGAGUCGACUGAACAGUAUAUGCAUGGAGCCUUGGCUUCUCAUAAUGCCUAUUAAGCGACGCGGGGAAGAGCAAAGCGGAAGGCUGGGUUCCACCUAGAGACUGGGUCAAACCAGUCUGAACCAUGGUCUCAAAUCAGGUAGGACUACCCGCUGAACUUAAGCAUAUCAAUAAGCGGAGGAAAAGAAACUAACAAGGAUUCCCCUAGUAACGGCGAGUGAAGCGGGAACAGCUCAAAUUUGAAAUCCCGCAAGGGAGUUGUAGUUUAGAGAAGCGUUUUCGGGGUCGACCUGUGGUACAAGUCCAUUGGAACAUGGCAUCAUAGAGGGUGAAAAUCCCGUCUUUGACCAUGGGCUCGACUCCAUAUGAUACGUUUUCCAAGAGUCGGUUUGUUUGGGAAUGCAGACCAAAAUGGGUGGUAAAUACCAUCUAAAGCUAAAUAUUGGCGAGAGACCGAUAGCGAACAAGUACCGUGAGGGAAAGAUGAAAAGAACUUUGAAAAGAGAGUUAAACAGUACGUGAAAUUGUCAAAAGGGAAACGUUUGAAACCAGUAUUGUAUGCACGAAUUUAGCUGUGAUUUAUUGCAGUGUCCUUUUGUGCAGCAAGUCAACAUCAGUUUGGUCUCGGGGAAAAAGCUGGGGAAAGGUGGCCUUCGGGUGUUAUAGUCCCUAGUGCUACCCAGGACUGGACUGAGGACUGCAGCUUCGGCUAAGGAUGUUGACGAAAUGGUUCUAAGCGACCCGUCUUGAAACACGGACCAAGGAGUCUAACAUAUAUGCGAGUAUUUGGGUGGUAAACCCUUGUGCGUAAUGAAAGUGAAAAGGUGGGAUCUUCGGAGCACCAUCGACCGCGCCAGAUUAUUGCUAUCUUGGCGUGAGUAUGAGCAUAUAUGCUAGGACCCGAAAGAUGGUGAACUAUACCUGAAUAGGGUGAAGCCAGAGGAAACUCUGGUGGAGGCUCGUAGGGGUUCUGACGUGCAAAUCGAUCUUCAAAUUUGGGUAUAGGGGCGAAAGACUAAUCGAACCAUCUAGUAGCUGGUUCCCUC